UACGUAGGGUGCAGGCGUUAAUCGGAAUUACUGGGCGUAAAGCGUGCGCAGGCGGUUUGCUAAGACAGGUGUGAAAUCCCCGGGCUUAACCUGGGAACUGCGCUUGUAACUAGCAGGCUAGAGUGUGGCAGAGGGGGGGUGGAAUUCCACGUGUAGCAGUGGAAAUGCGUAGAGAUGUGGAGGAACACCGAUGGCGAAGGCAGCCCCCUGGGCUAACACUGACGCUCAUGCACGAAAGCGUGGGGAGCAAACAGG
rnacentral:rRNA from 1 species